rnacentral:rRNA from 1 species
CAGUAGCCACGGUAAUACGAAGGGUGCAAGCGUUACUCGGAAUUACUGGGCGUAAAGCGUGCGUAGGUGGUGGUUUAAGUCCGUUGUGUAAGCCCUGGGCUCAACCUGGGAAUUGCAGUGGAUACUGGGUCACUAGAGUGUGGUAGAGGAUAGUGGAAUUUCCGGUGUAGCAGUGAAAUGCGUAGAGAUCGGAAGGAACAUCUGUGGCGAAGGCGACUAUCUGGGCCAACACUGACACUGAGGCACGAAAGCGUGGGGAGCAAACAGGAUUAGAUACCCCCGUAGUCCCUGUCUCUUAUAC